UGAACGAGUCGUCGGAUGGGGACCAUUUACACCACAACCAACCCCCUCCAUCCCCCUUUCAAUCUCUCUUUCUCUUUCUAUCCCCUAUCCCCCCACUUUGAUCGCCGGGCCUUUCAAUUCGGUCGUCUAUCGGACUCUUUGAAUAUUUUAUGCCCUUUCGAAACUUCUACGUUUCCUGUAGGUAGAAUACAUCGGCAUUUGAAAAACAGGACUACCAGUCAUGGUCGGGUUGGUGCAACGGCUGCAGUAUACAGCGCAGCUAUCUUAGAAUAUCUGACAGCCGAGGUCUUAGAAUUAGCAGGAAAUGCUUCUAAGGAUUUGAAAGUUAAACGUAUUACUCCAAGACAUUUACAACUUGCCAUUCGAGGUGACGAAGAGUUAGACAGUCUGAUUAAAGCUACCAUCGCAGGAGGAGGUGUUAUUCCACAUAUCCAUAAAUCACUGAUUGGCAAGAAAGGUUCUCAGAAGCCAGCAUAAUUUAGUGAUGAUUGAAGAACUAUCUUGAGAGAUCAGUAGACAAAACAGAGAUGUAAAGUGACAGUGACUGUUGACAAAGUGUACCUACGUUAUUAAACUAAAUAGAGAGACUGGAGUGAUAAUAUAUGUAUAUGGAUAAAUAUAUAUAUGUAUAUAUAUAUAUUUAUGCAUACAUAUAUAUAUAUAUAUAUGAUGUGAAACAAAUAUUGAUAUAAUUUAACAUAGAUAACGAAGAGCUAAUGGAAAGACAAACGUUAAAAGCGUAAUUUGUGACGAUCAAGGAAUAGAAAGGUGAUUUUGUUAGAGAUGAUGAUAAUGAUGAUGAUGAUAAUGACGAUGAUAACGAAGAAAAAUUCCUAGUGUGCAUAUAACGUGGCGAUUUAAUCUAUGAGCAAUGUGUUAUAGCAUCGCUCGCACGAAACAAUUAAGGUUUCUUGCUUCGCCGAUAAUGUAUAUUUUAAAUGAAAGAUAUUCAGCAGAUGGAAAAGUCUAUUAAUAUUGUAGAAUUAUUUAAAGAUUAAAAGUAAACUACAAAUGCAGUUGAGUAACUAUUGCAAUUUGACACAAAUGUAUUUUAUAAUGGAUCAGAAGAUGUGAAAUAAAUAAAACAUCUAUUAAAGUUAA
rnacentral:misc_RNA from 1 species